CUGAUGCUCUAAUAAGGUUAAAUAUAAAAUGAUCUAGAGAAGAUUAGUAUGCCCUUACGUAAGGAUGACACCCACAAAUCGAGAAAAAGGUCCAAAAAUUU